rnacentral:rRNA from 1 species
AAAUUGAAGAGUUUGAUCAUGGCUCAGAUUGAACGCUGGCGGCAGGCCUAACACAUGCAAGUCGAACGGUAACAGGAAGCAGCUUGCUGCUUCGCUGACGAGUGGCGGACGGGUGAGUAAUGUCUGGGAAACUGCCUGAUGGAGGGGGAUAACUACUGGAAACGGUGGCUAAUACCGCAUAACGUCGCAAGACCAAAGAGGGGGACCUUCGGGCCUCUUGCCAUCAGAUGUGCCCAGAUGGGAUUAGCUAGUUGGUGAGGUAACGGCUCACCAAGGCGACGAUCCCUAGCUGGUCUGAGAGGAUGACCAGCCACACUGGAACUGAGACACGGUCCAGACUCCUACGGGAGGCAGCAGUGGGGAAUAUUGCACAAUGGGCGCAAGCCUGAUGCAGCCAUGCCGCGUGUAUGAAGAAGGCCUUCGGGUUGUAAAGUACUUUCAGCGGGGAGGAAGGUGUUGUGGUUAAUAACCGCAGCAAUUGACGUUACCCGCAGAAGAAGCACCGGCUAACUCCGUGCCAGCAGCCGCGGUAAUACGGAGGGUGCAAGCGUUAAUCGGAAUUACUGGGCGUAAAGCGCACGCAGGCGGUCUGUCAAGUCGGAUGUGAAAUCCCCGGGCUCAACCUGGGAACUGCAUUCGAAACUGGCAGGCUUGAGUCUUGUAGAGGGGGGUAGAAUUCCAGGUGUAGCGGUGAAAUGCGUAGAGAUCUGGAGGAAUACCGGUGGCGAAGGCGGCCCCCUGGACAAAGACUGACGCUCAGGUGCGAAAGCGUGGGGAGCAAACAGGAUUAGAUACCCUGGUAGUCCACGCCGUAAACGAUGUCUACUUGGAGGUUGUGCCCUUGAGGCGUGGCUUCCGGAGCUAACGCGUUAAGUAGACCGCCUGGGGAGUACGGCCGCAAGGUUAAAACUCAAAUGAAUUGACGGGGGCCCGCACAAGCGGUGGAGCAUGUGGUUUAAUUCGAUGCAACGCGAAGAACCUUACCUGGUCUUGACAUCCACAGAACUUUCCAGAGAUGGAUUGGUGCCUUCGGGAACUGUGAGACAGGUGCUGCAUGGCUGUCGUCAGCUCGUGUUGUGAAAUGUUGGGUUAAGUCCCGCAACGAGCGCAACCCUUAUCCUUUGUUGCCAGCGGUUAGGCCGGGAACUCAAAGGAAACUGCCAGUGAUAAACUGGAGGAAGGUGGGGAUGACGUCAAGUCAUCAUGGCCCUUACGACCAGGGCUACACACGUGCUACAAUGGCGCAUACAAAGAGAAGCGACCUCGCGAGAGCAAGCGGACCUCAUAAAGUGCGUCGUAGUCCGGAUUGGAGUCUGCAACUCGACUCCAUGAAGUCGGAAUCGCUAGUAAUCGUGGAUCAGAAUGCCACGGUGAAUACGUUCCCGGGCCUUGUACACACCGCCCGUCACACCAUGGGAGUGGGUUGCAAAAGAAGUAGGUAGCUUAACCUUCGGGAGGGCGCUUACCACUUUGUGAUUCAUGACUGGGGUGAAGUCGUAACAAGGUAACCGUAGGGGAACCUGCGGUUGGAUCACCUCCUUACCUUAAAGAAGC